rnacentral:rRNA from 1 species
AACGAACGCUGGCGGCAUGCCUAACACAUGCAAGUCGAACGAGACCUUCGGGUCUAGUGGCGCACGGGUGCGUAACGCGUGGGAACCUGCCCUUAGGUUCAGAAUAACUCCCCGAAAGGGGUGCUAAUACCGGAUAAUGUCUUCGGACCAAAGAUUUAUCGCCUUUGGAUGGGCCCGCGUUGGAUUAGCUAGUUGGUAGGGUAAAAGCCUACCAAGGCGACGAUCCAUAGCUGGUCUGAGGGGAUGAUCAGCCACACUGGGACUGAGACACGGCCCAGACUCCUACGGGAGGCAGCAGUGGGGAAUAUUGGACAAUGGGCGAAAGCCUGAUCCAGCAAUGCCGCGUGAGUGAUGAAGGCCUUAGGGUUGUAAAGCUCUUUUACCCGGGAUGAUAAUGACAGCACCGGGAGAAUAAGCUCCGGCUAACUCCGU